UUUCCUGGCGCUUCUCAUACCUGGAGACCCUGUUGAUCCUCGUUAGCUGCUGACAGCACCUUUUCUAUGGUUUGAAGAGUCCGGACACGGCUUCACUGGGUCCUCUGCCCAGUGUCUUACGGGACUGCAAUCAACAUGCCACCUAGGCUGAAGUCUCAUUUGAAGAAUUAACUGGAGAAUCAUCUUCUUGCAAGCUCAUUCAGGUACCAUGAAGAUUAAUUGUAGAAAUCCAAGGUGAAUUUUCAUACCUUGAUGAUGGAGAAGAGAGCAGAUUAUAAGAAUGUGAAUCUGUGUACUGAUUAGAUACCUGUCCAGGAAAGCUCUUGGAAGAGUUGAAACACAACUGGGGGCUGGGAGAGGCUGAGUUCCGGGUCAGCAGCCUGUGAGGGCUGCAGCCUCCAGCAGAGGAUGGAGUGGAAGGAAGAGAGGCAGGAAGCAUAAAGGUGGGCCCCACCCCAGCUCCGGG
ensembl:lncRNA